AUCCACUUAGAUUUUUCUUUAAGGAUGAGCUGUUAAAAGACGACGACCCUCCAUCAUGCUUCAUCUUCAAGUUAUCAGGAGCGUUGCUGAAGAACAUACUUCUUGAAGUUGUUCUUCAAGAAGGAGAUGCUGCCUACAUGACCCUGUCAUUGACCUGCUCAAGGUUCAGGGGCAUAGUUGGGGAUGACAAGUAUAAGAAUCAGGCACACUUCUUAUGGCUAGAAAGUAAAUAUUGACAUUAAAAAAUAAAAUGCAUAACAAGAACAUCUUUGAUAAUGUUAAAUGCUAUGUUAAUUUUUUUUCACCUCAGGUGUUACAUGCUGGAAAAAUAAGUCGUCUCGCUACAAACAGCUCUUCUGGAAAAUGUACUCAAUCUCCACUUGUUUGGAGUGUGGGUUUGAGUACAAAUGCUGCACACCUGGUUAUGCUGGGAAGGGAAAGCGAGGUGAGCUCCAGGGAAUUUAUUCAGAAACCUUCCACCCUGGAUUUUGCCGUUUUGAAUGCUUGCAGAUCAGUUCUAAUGAGUUCCUUACAAGUAACCACG